rnacentral:lncRNA from 1 species
AAAACUUUGGCUAAUAGCAUAAGCAAAGUACCACUUCUAAUCUGACUUCUAUUUUUGUAGGUGCUAGGCAGAGUUAGCUGAAAGGUGAAGAGGUGAACUUGUCUGACAUGUCUGGACCAGCCUUUUUAGUGGGUACCCGGUAUUAUCUGUGGAUGGCUUGUUUGGGGUGCAGAUUUUGAGGACCUUUUGUAUAAAGGUGUGAAGAGGCCUUGGCUACAAGGCAUUUAUGAGCAGCAGUCAAUGCAACUUAACCAAUUGACAGGUAGCUGGAUGGAUGCUUGUGGGAUGGAUAGAAGAAAAGUAAACAACUUUGUAUUUUAAUAAAUGUUUUUUACUUAAAAGCC